UCAAGUUUGUCCAGUAUUUUUGUUGAAACCAUCUGGCAACCCUCAGUGUAAGAAGAUUAUAGGGAAAACUUCCCCUGAACAGUGGUUUAGUAAGCAUUCUGUUUCCUUCGGUCCAAACAAGGCUUAACAGAGAAAGUUACAGCUGCAGCCUAUGAAUGAUGCUUCUGGGACUCUCUUACCACACCUUAAUGGGACUGAAAGUGCAGUGCAAAAAGGACAGCAAUGGAGGAGAAACUGGACAAGGGACUGUAGUCAAAGGAUAAUGUUUGUGGAUAACAUCAUCCAAAAGGAAAGCCAAAACCAUCAGGAUGGCAGCUAUUGUUAAGUGGGUGACUUAUUGGGAAUAAAUGCAGAGGAAUGAAG